CGGUGAGGUAACCGCAAGGGGCCAGCCGCCGAAGGUGGGGUAGAUGAUUGGGGUGAAGUCGUAACAAGGUAGCCGUAUCGGAAGGUGCGGCUGGAUCACCUCCUUUCUAUGGAGA
rnacentral:rRNA from 1 species